CCUACGUGUGGCAGCAGUGAGGAAUAUUGGUCAAUGGGCGCGAGCCUGAACCAGCCAAGUAGCGUGAAGGAUGACUGCCCUACGGGUUGUAAACUUCUUUUAUAAAGGAAUAAAGUGAGGCACGUGUGCCUUUUUGUAUGUACUUUAUGAAUAAGGAUCGGCUAACUCCGUGCCAGCAGCCGCGGUAAUACGGAGGAUACGAGCGUUAUCCGGAUUUAUUGGGGUUAAAGGGAGCGUAGAUGGGAUGUUAAGUCAGUUGUGAAAGCUUGCGGCUCAACCGUAAAAUUGCAAUUGAUACUGGCAGACUUGAGUACAGGUGAGGUAGGCGGAAUGCGUGGUGUAGCGGUGAAAUGCAGAGAUAUCACGAAGAACUCCGAUCGCGAAGGCAGCUUACUGGCGCGCAACUGACGCUGAUGCACGAAAGCGUGGGUAUCAAACAGGAUUAGAUACCCUAGUAGUC
rnacentral:rRNA from 1 species